AUUAGCCUACGGGGGGCAGCAGUGGGGAAUAUUGCACAAUGGGGGAAACCCUGAUGCAGCGACGCCGCGUGAGUGAAGAAGUAUUUCGGUAUGUAAAGCUCUAUCAGCAGGGAAGAAAAUGACGGUACCUGACUAAGAAGCCCCGGCUAACUACGUGCCAGCAGCCGCGGUAAUACGUAGGGGGCAAGCGUUAUCCGGAUUUACUGGGUGUAAAGGGAGCGUAGGUGGCAUGGUAAGCCAGAAGUGAAAACCCAG
rnacentral:rRNA from 1 species